rnacentral:rRNA from 1 species
GUCCGCCUCACCGCGUGCACUGGUCCGGCCGGGCCUUUCCUCCUGGGGAGCCGCAUGCCCUUCACUGGGUGUGUCGGGGAACCAGGACUUUUACUUUGAAAAAAUUAGAGUGUUCAAAGCAGGCCCAUGCUCGAAUACAUUAGCAUGGAAUAAUAGAAUAGGACGUGUGGUUCUAUUUUGUUGGUUUCUAGGACCGCCGUAAUGAUUAAUAGGGAUAGUCGGGGGCAUCAGUAUUCAAUUGU